AAUGAACGCUGGCGGUAGGCUUAACACAUGCAAGUCGGACGGAAACAGCAUAACUGAAGCUUCGGUGGACGUUAUGGAUGUCGAGUGGCGGACGGGUGAGUAAUGCCUGGGAAUCUACCCUAAUGUUGGGGAUAACAUAUGGAAACGUAUGCUAAUACCGAAUAUGAUCUACGGAUUAAAGGUGCCCUCUCCUUGGAAGGUAUCGCAUUAGGAUGAGCCCAGGUGAGAUUAGCUAGUUGGUGAGGUAAAGGCUCACCAAGGCGACGAUCUCUAGCUGGUUUGAGAGGAUGAUCAGCCACACUGGGACUGAGACACGGCCCAGACUCCUACGGGAGGCAGCAGUGGGGAAUAUUGCACAAUGAGCGAAAGCUUGAUGCAGCCAUACCGCGUGUGUGAAGAAGGCCCGAGGGUUGUAAAGCACUUUCAAUUGUGAGGAAGAUAGUGUAGUUAAUACCUGCAUUAUUUGACGUUAACUUUAGAAGAAGCACCGGCUAACUCUGUGCCAGCAGCCGCGGUAAUACAGAGGGUGCAAGCGUUAUUCGGAAUUACUGGGCGUAAAGCGCGCGUAGGCGGAAUAUUAAGUCAGUUGUGAAAGCCCUGGGCUCAACCUGGGAACUGCUUCUGAUACUGGUAUUCUAGAGUUUAGUAGAGGGAAGGGGAAUUCCUAGUGUAGCAGUGAAAUGCGUAGAUAUUAGGAGGAACAUCAGUGGCGAAGGCGCCUUCCUGGACUAAAACUGACGCUGAGGUGCGAAAGCGUGGGUAGCGAACGGGAUUAGGUACCCCGGUAGUCCACGCCGUAAACGAUGUCAACUAGUUGUUGGUCUUAUUAAAAAGAUUAGUAACGCAGCUAACGCGAUAAGUUGACCGCCUGGGGAGUACGGNCGCAAGAUUA
rnacentral:rRNA from 1 species